ensembl:lncRNA
UCUUACGUGACCCUGUAAAAGGGUCAUUCGACACCCACAGAGGUUGUGACUCACAAGUUGAGAACCCCUGGUCUAGAGGAAGAAACACUGUUACAGCUCUUGUGGGGCUCAGAGAAGAGAGGUUCUUCCAGACAACCACGAAGAGGUCAAAAGUGAUGGUGGCCUUGCACCUGCUUCUCAACAAAGGAAACUGUUGAUGCGUUUCUGGCAAGGAGAGCUGUUUGGUUUAUUUCCCAGAACCCCGUGGGUAGAGAAAAGGCACACACUGUGCAGUGUAGGCCCAGGCUGAUCAUACAGAGGACAUCACAGCCCUGGGAGCUAGGCUGGCAAAGAGAAGGACGGGCUCACACAAAUGUCCAUCUCCUCUCACUGAAGUCUUGACCUGGCAACUUUUGGCUGCCUAGAGUGAUUAUUGCUGUCUUUAUCCGUGGAGUCUGCCUUGAGCAGAUGUUUCUCACGUGGCCAGCUCAGCAGGAGAGGUGGUCUGACGACGGAUACCCGACCAGAGCUGCAGACGAAGUUCUUUGUAAUUAAUUUGUGAAGGAUUGGAAUUUUCAUUUAUAAUUGAAGGUUCAAAUUGACAUUGAGUGACAUAUUUUUGAUGUGUGCCUCUAGGCAUGCCAACUUCAAGUGUAAUAGAACAAUGUGUGCAACAAGGUUCUCUUUGUUUCUUGGGAAUGUGGUGACUACACAGAGCUUAAACUACUCAGAAAACAGCAGAGAUAACUUUUCGUCAGGAGACAAUUUCGUAAAUUGCUUUGGGGAACAGAAAUGCACCAUGCAGUUUUAACAGGUGUUCUGUGGAAGAAAAAAAUUUUUUUCCUGGCUAAAUUACUUUGGGAAAUAAUAGUUAGACAGAAUUUUUCACAGUAUCUCUGAGCACUGUGUAUGUUAUAUGCUUUGUAAGCCUGCAAGUGAAGUUAUGUAGAAUUUCCUAGGAUUAGCUGGGUGGUGGUAGUGGUGCCUCCCAGCACUCAGGAGGCAGAGGCAGGAUCUCUGUGAGUAAAGCUACACAGAGACAUCACAUCUCGGACAGUCUCCUCAUAUAUAAAAGAAAGAAUCUGCAUUUGGGAAACUCUAAGGUCAAACAUUUUUGUGAUACCACUGAUGGGGAAAGUGCUUCUGUGUAUGUGUUUGUCUUAUUGGAUGAAAAAUACAGUACUUUUUGGCCAAUGAGGCAGCAAGUUAGGCAGGACUAGGAGUCAAGGAGGAUUCUGGGAAAUGUAGUAAAGAAGUGGUGAUCCAGGCAGGAAGUGACAUAGCAGGGAGUCUCAUAUAUAAGCAAGGGCAAGAAGGAAGUCCUUCCUUUCACUCUUGCUCCUCCUCUCUGUGGAGCUGCCAUGUGAGCCCGGAGAAGAAGAUGCCAGUGGAAGGCAUCCUCCAUAAGAUAAGUCUUUAUGGUCGAUAAUUAAGACUGAGCUAGAAGAUGAGAAAUCCUAGUCAUUGGCCAAGCAGCAUUUGUACUUAAUAUAAGUCUCUCUGUGUGUUACUUGGGACCUUAACAUGGUGGCGGGUGGAACUUGGGCAGCUUGUCGGAAAGCACCCACGUGGUAGGCAGAACUCGGGUGGCUUUGCAGAAAGAUUUAUUGUAACAUGCCACUAAAGUUACUGUUAUUGUACUCACUUCUCCCAAACUCUCUACUUGCAUAAGCACCCAAGGAUGUCAACAACCCAAAGGGGAUGGUUUGGGUUAUCAGGACACACUUGCCAUCUCUGAACUUGAGUCAGACCAGUAAACUGAAGAGAUGUAAAGAUUAUUUCCGAUCCUCUAAAAUUUUUAAUACAGUAACCCUGAAGCACAGAGGAAUGUGGCUUGCUUACUAGAGCCCACAGUAGGGCUUAUGCUAUUUAAUGUAUUCUUACUGAUAAUGGUGAACUUAAUCUACUUUCCCGAUGGUUCAUAGGAAGCAGGAGACAGGAGAACACUUAGUGAAGAUUUAGCAAUUGUGUCUCUCUCCAUAAAGUCUAGCUGUCUAGGGUUUCCUCCCUCCCUCCCUCCCUCUCUCCUUCCCUCCCUCCCUCCCUCCUCCCUCUCUUCCAUUCCUGACUGCAGAAGAAAAUUGUCUCAAGCUUUGUUGCUUCUUACAAGAAAAAUUACACCAAAAAUACCAGUCACAUCUGGAACUCAUGUUCAUUUCCAAGUCUGAAUUCAUAUGGGUUUGACAGUUCAAAACACAUUGACUCAAAAAUCUAAAGUUAGGUAUAGUGACAAGCCUCCCAGAGAGUAGCAGAAGCAAUUGUAAACAGUCCCUGGAGGAACCCGUCUCCAACUCUUAACGGAAACAGUUUGUAGAGAUAAGUUGGCAAACAAGUUGAGCAUCUCAUCAUGAAAGAAUCACAAAGGUCUUAUACACCAGCCAAAAACACACUUCAAAACCCAGGUACAGCUGUUCCAGGUACUUAUGCUAUGCUUAAUAAGCUUAAAAAAGAGAGAAAAUCUUGAAAUGAUGGUCAGUGGAAAUCUAUAGAACAGGCAAGCAAUUUCAAAGCAGAAUAAAACAAAAUAGCAAAUGUUAUAACUGAAGUGACUAAUGAAUUUUACACUGUCGGCUAUAUUUUAGGGAUGGUUGAAUAGAGCUUGGAGAUGAGAGAGAGGGAAUCAGAAAAAGAGACAGAAAAGAUAAAAGAAUCAUGAGGUAUAGCACAUAGAAUUUACAUGAUUAGCAGUAUGUCCAAAUCUAAUCAUUGACUGUGAUAUUCGGAAAUGAGUUGAGCAUCCAGUUAGAAGGCAAAUGUGCUCACCCUGAAAGGGAGAAGAAUCCAGCUUUCUGUGUAUUGCUUAGGUAAAAGGAUACAUCAGACAGUGAUGUCUGGUUAGCUUUAUUCAUGCCAAAUAAACUGCAGUGAGGAGGGGAGUAUUUCCAGUGAAAAGAACAUCUCUUUAUUUUGAGAUGGUUAAAUAAGUAGAUAUAAUAAUCCAGCAUUUUAAUAGUAAUAGAACCUUAAUAAUAUAAUCUUGAAGUAAAUAUUUAUAAGAAAAAUAGGCAAACCCACCAUCAUGAUGGAAUUAAUUUAAUAUACUUCUUCAGUAGUAAGACGAGUACAGUUAAAUAAAUCCCACCGCUCGGGAGGCAGAGGCAGGUGGAUCUCUGUGAGUUCAAGACAAGCCUUGUGUACAAAGUGAGUCCCAAAACAGCCAGAGAAACUCUGUCUUGAAAGGAAAAAAGAGGAAAAAGAAAAGGAAAAGGAAAUCAUGAUAUUUGCAGGGAAAUGAAAUUGGAGAUGAUUAUGUUAAGUGAAAUAAGGUGACUCAAGAGAUGGAAAAAACAUCUUUUCCUUUAUAACAAAAAUCUAGAUUUGUGUGUGUGUGUGGUGUAAGUUGUGAAUGUAGAAAACAAACCGUUAGAAUUGAGGAAGAGAUAUUAAAUGAAGAGGAGAGGGUGAUGAAAUAAAUACAUGUGACAUAGAAACAAAAUUGGCGCUAUUGAUGUGGGCAGUUCACUCGGAACAAGGCGAGUGGGGAGGUAGCAGGAGAGGGGUUAAGAAGCAAGCGUAAGAGCAUAAAUUUCACUGUCUACAUGUACAGUAGGAAGAGUUGGUGAUCUUGAGGGGUUAAUCUUCUUAGCAUAGUUUUGUUUCAAAUUCUAGGCCUUAUGGGAUCUUAGGCAGUAACUAGGGUUUAGAUAUGGCUGGAGUGAAGUGAAUCUCUUCCUUCAAAUAGGACAAAAAAGGAGCAUCUUGAAAAUGAUCAAGAUGCAUUGUGGGUAAAAGGAGGCAUCCUGGCUUAUUAUAUCUGAAGGCGCAAUAAGUGGCAGCAAACUUCAGGACAUGAUGGUUUGGUCUUUUCCUUCAUUCGAGGUCAGACGAGGCUUUGUCAGGGUCCAGGUGCUCUGUAUCAAGCCAUCCUUUGAUAAGAAAUCACGCUGCAGGAGUGAAAAGAGAGCUCACACAAGGACCAAUUCACUGAGCUAUGGCUAUUGUCAAGGUGAACACAAGCUAGGUUCGAGUGGGCGUGAGAGCUCCUUGUGCCCUUGUGUUCUCUCCCUGAAGGAGUUAUCAGUGUGUUAUUACCAUUGAAAAUCAUUGGGAAAGAAGCCAGGAGCCCAAAGUCUAUUCAGGCUAAUCAUCUCAGUGCAUUUAAUCACACAACUGUCAGCCUUAGUGUAAUCACAGCCAGAGCAGGUGGUAAAUAGAGUUUCAAAAAUGCUACCAUCGGGUCCUGCUCCCCCCCCCCAGUCCUGUGGCUUUUUCUUCCUGCAGUAGACAUGAUUGCAUUACUAUGAGCAAGGUCAUAAUAAUUUCAGGAAAAGGAUUUUAGAUAUGUCUGUCAAACCCUCUCUUUCCCUAACCAAGAGAGACCCCACUAAUGCUCAUUUCUGUUAAUCCCAGCCAACUGUAACCUUAGAAUCCUAUUGAGCUCAGUGUUCUUUAUAGCAAUGUUCAGUGGCCUAGGACUGACAUGCAUGAGAGAGCACAUUUGACUUCUUUGCUUUUGGAUGAAUACAGUGUAGAAGAUCAUAAAAAAAGAUAUGUUAGAUUUAUAUCUUCCACACAUGUUAAACCUGUGUUACUUACUGUGUUCCCGACUAGCUGGGCCUGAUUGGUCCCUUACUUCUUUCAUCCAUUAUCCAUCUGUCUGUUUACCACUCAUUCAUUGAUGGGGGAUGUCCUUCUGUGUGCUGUGAAUAUGUUUCUCUUACUGGUUGAUGAAUAAAGCUGUUUCAGCCAAUGGACAGGCAGGAUGUAGCCAGGUAGGAAGUAUAGGUGGGGCUACCAGACUAGGAGAAUUCUGGGAAGAGGAAGGCAGGGGAUGAGUCAUCAGGGAGACACCAUGUAGCUGCUGAGGAAAAAAGAGGCCCAGGCAUUCUCAGGUAAGCCAAAACCACAUGGAGUUACACAGAUGAAUAGAAAAGGGUUAAUAAUUAAGAGAGAGCUAUCCAAUAAGAAGCCUGAGCCACUGGCCAAACAGUUUAUAAUUAAUAUAAGUCUCUUUGUGUUUAUUUGGGAUUAAAUGGCUGUGGGACUGGGUGGGACAGAAACUUCACUUUACAAUUCAUCAU